AACGAACGCUGGCGGCAUGCCUAACACAUGCAAGUCGAACGAGACCUUCGGGUCUAGUGGCGCACGGGUGCGUAACGCGUGGGAACCUGCCCUUAGGUUCGGAAUAACUCCCCGAAAGGGGUGCUAAUACCGGAUAAUGUCAUCGGACCAAAGAUUUAUCGCCUUUGGAUGGGCCCGCGUUGGAUUAGCUAGUUGGUAGGGUAAAAGCCUACCAAGGCGACGAUCCAUAGCUGGUCUGAGAGGAGGAUCAGCCACACUGGGACUGAGACACGGCCCAGACUCCUACGGGAGGCAGCAGUGGGGAAUAUUGGACAAUGGGCGAAAGCCUGAUCCAGCAAUGCCGCGUGAGUGAUGAAGGCCUUAGUGUUGUAAAGCUCUUUUACCCGGGAUGAUAAUGACAGUACCGGGAGAAUAAGCACCGGCUAACUCCGUG
rnacentral:rRNA from 1 species